rnacentral:rRNA from 1 species
UGGGGAAUAUUGGACAAUGGGCGCAAGCCUGAUCCAGCCAUGCCGCGUGAGUGAUGAAGGCCCUAGGGUUGUAAAGCUCUUUCACCGGUGAAGAUAAUGACGGUAACCGGAGAAGAAGCCCCGGCUAACUUCGUGCCAGCAGCCGCGGUAAUACGAAGGGGGCUAGCGUUGUUCGGAUUUACUGGGCGUAAAGCGCACGUAGGCGGACUAUUAAGUCAGGGGUGAAAUCCCGGGGCUCAACCCCGGAACUGCCUUUGAUACUGGUAGUCUUGAGUUCGAGAGAGGUGAGUGGAAUUCCGAGUGUAGAGAUGAAAUUCGUAGAUAUUCGGAGGAACACCAGUGGCGAAGGCGGCUCACUGGCUCGAUACUGACGCUGAGGUGCGAAAGCGUGGGGAGCAAACAGG